rnacentral:misc_RNA from 1 species
AACAAUUGGAAUUCUGGACCCUAAUUUUCCAGUUAUGAGCUGGUGAGCUUGUUGCAAGCUAAAAGAAGGACCAACGGAAGCAAUGGCGAACUGAGGUCGAAUAGGUUUCGACAAAACCUUGUCAACAGCCUCAUUUACAGCAUCCUGGAGAGAAGGAUUGAUAGAUAGAGCAGACGAGAGGUUAGGGAGAGAGAGGAGGCUAGUGAUAAUGAGGUUCCAUGAGCGGUUAACACAAGCGGCGUUUGCACAGGCUAAGGCAGGAAGACGAGAGAGGAUGUUAUGGAGAAGAUCGUCAUUGAUUGCAUCAAUCGUUGUUUCCAUCUCCACCGCCGUACUCCGACUCAGUUCCUCCAUUUCACGGUGGUCGGGAAUUGAAUUUCGAACUCCACCGUCGCGUCUAUGAGUCGGUAAUCAGCGGCAAAGCCCCAACCGUUGGUAAAAAAGUAGUACUAAAA